GUUCAUCUUCACCCAUGCCACCACAAGUCAACAGAAGGUCAGUCAAAGAGUCGAGGCAGAGGAGGACCUGCCGUAUAGCCUCGUAAAACUCCUCCUUCACACCUGGAUGAGAACCAUCGGUGGAGCUCACCUGGGAAAUACAAAUUACCAGAUCUGAAUUGGGAGCUGUGGACAGCGACAGAUUCUCCUCCUCUAUCAGCUCAUCUGAUGCUCUUCCAGCAGCAAACGGAGUUAUCGGUCUUGAAGGAAUCAGCCUUGUAUCUUCCGCUCCAGCUGCUGCCUGAGGGGUGUUUGUGCGAGGGUCAGCAUCAAAGGCUUCGUGUUUCGUAGAAGACUGAUGAAGCAGGUCCUGAAAGACAAAUGAAAGAUGAUACUAGAAAUAACUACAACUUAUGGUUAGUCAAAGAGACGAGAACAUUUAAGAAAGAAUGGCAGAGGCGACAGAGGCUCAUAAAAAACAAAUCCACUGUGUUGGAACAAGGAUCCAGUUGGAGACAAGAAUGAGUGUUGCUUCAUAGUGCAACAUGAAAGUAUAUCAGCAAAGAUUCAGACAUGCUGUACCUCAAGCAGAGAGGCUUGUUGCUCGGUGAGAUGUUCCAGCUCCUCGAGUGACUGCAGGAGCAGCCUGGCUUUGGAGUAGACUUGAAGGCUUUCUUCUGCUCUUUGUGGGAUGUGAAGCUCUCC